AUUGAACGCUGGCGGCAGGCCUAACACAUGCAAGUCGAGCGGAUGAAGGGAGCUUGCUCCUGGAUUCAGCGGCGGACGGGUGAGUAAUGCCUAGGAAUCUGCCUGGUAGUGGGGGAUAACGUCCGGAAACGGGCGCUAAUACCGCAUACGUCCUGAGGGAGAAAGUGGGGGAUCUUCGGACCUCACGCUAUCAGAUGAGCCUAGGUCGGAUUAGCUAGUUGGUGGGGUAAAGGCCUACCAAGGCGACGAUCCGUAACUGGUCUGAGAGGAUGAUCAGUCACACUGGAACUGGGACACGGUCCAGACUCCUACGAGAGGCAGCAGUGGGGAAUAUUGGACAAUGGGCGAGAGCCUGAUCCAGCCAUGGCGCGUGUGUGAAGAAGGUCUUCGGAUUGUAAAGCACUUUAAGUUGGGAGGAAGGGCAGUAAGUUAAUACCUUGCUGUUUUGACGUUACCAACAGAAGAAGCACCGGCUAACUUCGUG
rnacentral:rRNA from 1 species